rnacentral:lncRNA from 1 species
CCCUGACGUGGGUUUGACACCUGUCACAGAGCAUCCCAUGAUGAGACCAUGUCGGCGGACCCCGCGAUACCAUUUUGGGCCAAUCCUUUUAAUCUCAACAUCUUUGAAUCCUGCCUUUUCAAACCACUCCAUGUACUCUUCCUCUUUAGGAAAGAGCAUCCACAUGUCUGCAAAGAAACGAGACAACCAAAAUGUCGGAUAAACAGGACCGAUUAAACAAGCCUUCCCUCCCAUCUUCAAAACCCUGUAUGCUUCUUUGAUGCCUCGUUGUGGGUCCGGCCAGUACUCAAUGCUGAAAAGAAAUAUGGUCAGAAUACAUGACAUGACAUAACAGGUUGUACUGUAUUUUGUAUUUCAAUUGGACUGGGAUGACAUGACAUAUGUAUUUCAAUUGGACUGGGAUGACAUGACAUAACAAAUUGCACAGUGUUUGGAUUGGACAGGGGUGUUACUUACAUCUACCCACUUUCAACUCAUAUGUUUCCAAAGGAUAUAUAAUUGGACACUAAACAUACAUCUUUCUGGACAUAUGGCAAUUCUUUCACCAUUUGAGGAAUAAGAUAAUCAGUUGCUUAAAGCUAUGGAUAAUUGGGCAUUUAGAUGUAUCCCAAUAAUCAUCUUUCUUUUGCCAAUUCUUUCAUUGACUAUUCAUAACUUAUUGUUUUCACCAUUUCAGAAAUCAUAUAAUCAGUUUACAGAGACACGCGAUUGUCACGAUCAUAGGUUUAAUCAUACAUCUAAACACCCCCUCAAGCAAUUAAUUAUAUGAUUAUCUAAUGAUUACACAAAUAGCAGUAAUCACAUAGAAAUGAACAUUUAUUAGAGGCUAUACCUUCCGGCUGACACAUAUCUAUCGGCAUAAUCAGUUUUGAAAGGAAGAUCUUCAGCAUCUCCUUCAAUGAUCUUGCAUUCCUUCAAAGGCUCCUUCUCUUUAGCUUUUGCAAGCUGAUGAGGCGAUUGAUCCAAAAUGGUAACAUUUUUAGCAUCGACAUGUUUUACAAUACCUAAAGUAGUGAACCCAGUGCCUCCACCAACAUCCACCACUAUUGAAUCGCGGCUAUUAAGAUCAGCUGGUUCGAGUGCAUCGUCUCGCAUAUCUUCAGUCCAAUGACCAGGGUUUAUC